rnacentral:misc_RNA from 1 species
ACCUUAUCAGUAAUAAAAAUCUAAGUUUAGCAAACAUUCUGAAAUCAAUGAACAGUUGAGUGACCACGAGCAAAAUUAAGCCCUUCUAAAUUAAAAACCCUUCUAGUCCUGAAGUUUUUACCAGAACAACUAUUUAAUCCCUAAAAAUCUAAAAGUUGGACUAGAGUUUAUCAUUUAAAAGUUGAAGGAUCACAAGGCUGUUUAAUUUUUAAGGUGAUGCUUAAUGAAGGAUAAAGUGUAGCAAAUCUAGAAAG